rnacentral:lncRNA from 1 species
GCUUUGAAAGAGCCUCGGGAGUCGCUGCCUGCUCCUCUUACACAGGCCCUGCUUUUCGGUUUUGCUUUCUGUGAAACGGAGUUAAUGGCAUUAGCCACUGAUCUGGCUUAAGAAGAGAAAAUGAGGAGAAAUAGCAGGAGGCUUACCAAGCACUGGCGAGAACACAUUGGAAAAUCUGAGGCAGACCCGGAGGAGGUGAGUGGUCCCACUUGGCAUCUCCUUUAUUGGUUGUGUCAUGUUUUGCACUCUGUGCCUCGUGGCAAUGGCCCAACCUAUAGAUUGACAUUUUGGUCUCAUACUCAUGGAGCGUAACUCUGGCCUGUCUUCUACCACUCAGGGAUCUCCCUAUGCUACCCAAGUGCCCAUUGCACUGCCUGGGCAUUCUGAGUGCCCACUGCCUACUUGUUGGAUUGAGGAUUUGAGGAGAGAGUCCUCUCAGGUCCAGACUGAAGGAGUAGUUCCUGUCUGAGAUGCUGUCAUCAUGGCAGAAGGUGGAGGAAGGACAGAAUGACAGUCCAGCGUUAGAGCUUCAUUUCCCGCAUCCCCAUCUCCAAAGCACAUUUCAGCGGCCCAAACAAAUUCAAGUCCUACCUGCAAUGGGGCAGGAAAUUCGGUCUGCUGCAGACAGAGCCCUAAAGCUGGGGUUGAAACAGGUGGGAUGUGACAGUACAAUACGCAGCAUACAGUGUAAGAGAGAGAUGGCUGAAUUUCUAGGACCAAAUCUUCUGUUAAUAGCAGCCUAAUCACGUGGUUAAUCAUAGCGUUUGCAUGCAAUGCUUAAGUGAGCUGAAAAGACAAUGUACAGUCUCACUCAAAGUGUGGGCAACACCACUUCUAAUUACUUCUUUUGUGAUUUGACAAUUUGGGCAUUAGAAACUCCUUUACGAAUUGAAGGAGUCUACAGGGACUCCUGGGGGGAUGCUUAUCGGGCCGAUGAGGUGCUUACCAUGCAAGCAUGAGGACCUGAGUUUGAUCCCCAGUACCCACAAAAAGGCUGGGUAUGGUAGCCUGUGCUUGUAGCCCUAGCACCAGGAAUGCAGAGGCAGGAGGAUUUGCCAGUGUUGCUGAAGAGAGUUCACAGAGAGAUAUUGUCGCAAAGUGAAGGUGGACAUUGAUAAGGGAAGAGAUUUGACACUGAUCUCUGACCUUCAUAUACCCCUCGGUGAUGGUUUGUAUAUGCUUGGCCCAGGGAGUGGCACGAUUAGUAGGUGUGGCCUUGUGAGAAUAGGUGUGUCACAGUUUGAGUAGGCUUUAAUACCCUAGUCCUAGCUGUCUGGAAGCCAGUAUUCUGCUAGCAGCCUUCAAAUGAAGAUGUAGAACUCUCAGCUCCUCCCGCACCAUGCCUGCCUGGAUGCUGCCAUGAUUCCUGCCUUGAUGAUAAUGGACUGAACCUCUGAACCUGUAAGCCAGCCCCAAUUAAAUGAUGUCUUUUAUAAGAGUUGCCUUGGUCAUGGUGCCUCUUCACAGCAAUAAAACCCUAACUAAGACAACCCUCAUUCCAGUGGUUCUCAACCUUUAGUCACAACCCCUUUGGGGUCACAGAUCAGAUAUCUGCAUAUCAUGUAUUUACAUUGCCAUUCAUACAUGUAUAAGGUAGUAAUGAAAUAAUUUUAUGGUUGGGGUCAUCACAACAUGAGGAACUGCAUUAAAGAGUUGCAGCACUAGGGAGGCUGAGAACCACUGUUCUACACACACAUGAGCAUGCGUGCACACAUAUAUCACACACAUACAACAAACACAUGAACCUCAAGUGGCAAUGUCUGGUGGGAUCCUGAAAGCAGGAAAAUAACCCCAAUGUUGUCUCCCAGAGGAGUGUCUCAGAAAGUAGGAACCACGCUCGACCAGUUGUUGAAUGAGCUAAAAUGUAGGUGCAGUGUGUAUGCUUCCGGGCUUGUCCCUGGAUACACUGAACUGAAUAGUGGCAAGAUCUGCAGUUAACUCGCAGUCCAGCCUCAUUCCCCAGACCAGCCCAUCUUUCUCCCCAGCCUUAAGGUUUUACUACAUAAGUCAGUCUGUUCUCAGACUCAGAAUCCUUCUGCUUCAGCCUUCCAAAUGCUAGGAUGAUCAGCGUCCACUACCAUGACAUGUUCUAGGUGAUGGAUACAGCAGUCUAUGGAGAUUUGCCCCUCUGGAAGCUGCAGGCUUCAGCAGCGCCCACCCCUGCCAGCAUUUACCCAGCUGAACUCUCAUGUCUUUAUAUUUGCCUGUGUUCUGGUCCUCGAGGGUUCCACAAGCAGAGCCAGCUCGCACGCACAGCCAGCACAAGUGCUCUCAGUCCUGGGCCACGAAUCCUGCAGGGCCUUGGGGUUUCCUGGCAGGAAUAGGAGUCGGGGGACUUUCUACAGAAUAGUUUCUAAUGAGGGCCUCUGUCCCCCUUCAAAUACAUUUUAGUUUAUAUACUUUACUAUUUUUCUUAUAAAUUGGCAUCUGUGAAUCAUUUUAU